rnacentral:rRNA from 1 species
UGAGCAAUCUGCCCUUCACAUCGGAAUAACCAUUGGAAACGAUGGCUAAUACCGAAUAUGACUUCGGAUCGCAUGAUCAGAAGUGGAAAGCUCCGGCGGUGAAGGAUGAGCUCGCGGCCUAUCAGCUUGUUGGUGAGGUAAUAGCUCACCAAGGCGAUGACGGGUAGCCGGCCUGAGAGGGUGACCGGCCACACUGGGACUGUGACACCGGCA